rnacentral:rRNA from 1 species
AUGGUCCUACGGGAGGCAGCAGUGAGGAAUAUUGGUCAAUGGGCGGAAGCCUGAACCAGCCACGUCGCGUGAGGGAAGAAGGCCCUGCGGGUCGCAGCCCUCUUUGGACGGGGAGCAAGGCCGCCGACGUGUCGGCGGAAGGAGAGUACCCGUAGAACAAGCAUCGGCUAACUCCGUGCCAGCAGCCGCGGUAAUACGGAGGAUGCGAGCGUUAUCCGGAUUUAUUGGGUUUAAAGGGUGCGCAGGCGGCACGGCAAGCCGGCGGCCAAAUCGGGGGGCUCAACCCGGCC